UGAAACUGGAGGACUAUGAGGCUGCUUCGACCACAUUUGAAGAGGCACUGGAGCUGGCUAAAAAUCAGCAGAACAAAGAGGCCCUAGACAGCAUUGAAAAGGCUCUGCGAGACGUCAACCAAAAACUCUCCCAAAAUGUCAGUCAACAGGUGGACGAAGAUAAUAACUACUCGGUAGCCAAUCAGAAUCAAGAACAGAUUCGCGAACAGAGAACUCAGACUCCUCCCAAAGUGGAGAAACCGAAAGAAGAGCCGAAGGCGAAAGCAGAAGAGCCGAAAAAAGUGGAAGAGAAAAAAGAAGACGAAGUUGUUGGAGACGGAAGAGGAGACGGAGAUGAGAUCCCGGAGGAGCAGGAACUGGAGGGAACUGAAGCUUAUGGGGAGGAAGAUUUUGAACAAGAUGACGAAACAGCAACUACUUCUAGAGAUAAAUGAAUCUAUAGCUUCUUAAAAAUUUUGAUGACGUAUUAAAUCGUAUACUGAAAAAGAGUCAUGAUUACAAAGUUUAUCGAUUGCUGCAACACAAAGUAGUGCUGUGAUCGUCAAUUUUGGAAUCGAUGACUCAGUGUUAUGUAUUUUCAUUGAUUCUGUCCCAUCG